AAAGCCUACAGCACCCGGUAUUCCCAGUCGGUCUCCAUCCAAGUACUAACUAGGCCCGAUCCUGCUUAGCUUCGGAGAUCAG
rnacentral:sRNA from 1 species